AACGAACGCUGGCGGCAUGCCUAACACAUGCAAGUCGAACGAUCCCUUCGGGGAUAGUGGCGCACGGGUGCGUAACGCGUGGGAAUCUGCCCUUGGGUUCGGAAUAACAGUUAGAAAUGACUGCUAAUACCGGAUGAAGUCUUCGGACCAAAGAUUUAUCGCCCAGGGAUGAGCCCGCGUAGGAUUAGGUAGUUGGUGAGGUAAAGGCUCACCAAGCCGACGAUCCUUAGCUGGUCUGAGAGGAUGAUCCGCCACACUGGGACUGAGACACGGCCCAGACUCCUACGGGAGGCAGCAGUGGGGAAUAUUGGACAAUGGGCGCAAGCCUGAUCCAGCAAUGCCGCGUGAGUGAUGAAGGCCUUCGGGUCGUAAAGCUCUUUUACCCGGGAUGAUAAUGACAGUACCGGGAGAAUAAGCUCCGGCUAACUCCGUGCCAGCAGCCGCCGUAACAC
rnacentral:rRNA from 1 species